CACUGACAUACUGGCACACAGACACACAGACAUACUGGCACACAGACACACUGACAUAUUGGCACACAGACACACAGACAUACUGGCACACAGACACACAGACAUACUGGCACACAGACACACUGACAUACUGGCACACAGACACACAGACCUACUGACACACAUAGACCUACUGACAGACACACACACACAGACAUACUGAAAUACACCUAUGCAAACUUUAAAGCCCCCCUCCAGUUUCCUACCUUCCCUGGGGUCAAGUGUGCUGGCUUGGGUGGUUGGGAGUUGGGGACUUGGUCUCUUUGCUCAGUC